UGGGGAAUUUUGGACAAUGGGGGAAACCCUGAUCCAGCCAUCCCGCGUGUGCGAUGAAGGCCUUCGGGUUGUAAAGCACUUUUGGCAGGAAAGAAACGUCAUGGGUUAAUACCCCGUGAAACUGACGGUACCUGCAGAAUAAGCACCGGCUAACUACGUGCCAGCAGCCGCGGUAAUACGUAGGGUGCAAGCGUUAAUCGGAAUUACUGGGCGUAAAGCGUGCGCAGGCGGUUCGGAAAGAAAGAUGUGAAAUCCCAGAGCACAACUUUAGAACUGCAUUUUUAACUACCGGGCUAGAGUGUGUCAGAGGGAGGUGGAAUUCGGCGUGUAGCAGUGAAAGGCAUAGAUAUGCGGAGGAACACCGAUGGCGAAGGCAGCCUCCUGGGAUAACACUGACGCUCAUGCAAGAAAGCGUGGGGAGCAAACAGG
rnacentral:rRNA from 1 species